GCCCAGGCACCACGAGCCGGCCCACGCGGCGAGCGGCGAGGCGGAGGCCGAACCCCGGUGAGUCUCCUGGUCUCUUUCCCCUGUUCCCGUUUGUGGGUGGUGGUGUGGGUUUGCCUCCCAUGUGCGCCGCGGCGCCGCCCCCUCCUGCUCGCCGCCCCGUCGCUCCGCCGAGGCGGGCCGCGGGUGCCGCCCCUGCUACACGGCCGUCGUCGCCCUAUGUCUACUCGCCGGCUUCAUGUGUCCCCAACGGGCCGCGGGAGCCGCCCCCACCUGCUCGCUCCCCGCCGUUCCGCUGAGGACACGCCGAGCUUCCUUCGCCCCCGCCUGCUCGCCAGCUUCGCGCGGGGCAAUGGUCAGUUGCUCCGCCGAGGACAUGCCAGGCCCCCACGCCGCCGUCGCACUGAGUUCCUCCUCGAUCGCCGGUUUGUGGAGAAGAGCAUGUCCGGCAUUGGGGCAGACCUUCAACGUCCUGCUUAGCUGGCGACGAUGCGUUGGGGCAGCGCCGGCGUUGGGGUGGAGCGAGCCUGAGCUGGCAAUGGUUUGAUCGAUCGCUACAGUAAGAACAGGGAUGUACAGAAGGCCUACAAACUGCUCGACAAAAAUGUGGGAGAAGGACAUUUCCCCUAUGUGAUCUCUUACACGAGCCUGAUUGGACGCUGCUCGACAAGUUCAGGCGAUUGCUAAGAAGCUGGUAUGCAUUUCACUCUUGUUCUGCGUUCUGAUCUGACCAAUCCCUUCAUCUCCUGAUUUUUCUAGGCACUGCAGAAAUACAUCUGCUUGUCUGCUGACGAGGACUCUACAUGUGUGAAACUGUGAAUUGCAUUCGAUGUUUGCUUUGGUGCAGUUUUUAGGAAUCUGAUUGGUGGAAGGAUCGUGAUCUAUCCAAGAAAUUUUGGUGGUGAAAGAUGAACCUAUUUUCUUGUUCCACAUGGAAGUGUAGCACAUAAGUGGAAUAAGCAAUAUUUUCUUUCUUGUCAAUCAGGGCAAUCACUGCGUCCAACCAUUUUGUUUAAACAUUGGUCUGGGUUCAGUGCUAAAAGACUUAUAUAUUGUGCCUUCCACGGCUGCCUCCUCAUUCGUUGCAUUGAUUAAUUUGGAUUGGGACACAGAAUAGUUAGCUUCAUUUGUUCUAUGCUUCCUGUUUGAUGAAUUGUUGUGUUUAUGUGUUACCGGUGUAUUCUUGUGCUAUUUGCAAAAGGCUUAAUAUGCUGGUGGUCAGAUUGAUUAAGACCUGCAGUUAUCUACGCCGGUGGAGCAUCCAUGGCUUUCACGUGCGUGUCGCCAUUGCUUUGGUGAUGGUGCCACAUCAGUUGUGCAGAGCACCCCAAAAAACUGAAUUCUGUAGUGAGUUCGUGCAUGUGAAAUUGAUUUUGAUAAAGGACACAAUGGUUUUGUAGGAGUGUGCUUGUAAAUUCAUGUCAAGUAUGCUAAAUUUGUAUGAAAAUGAACCUGAAUCGAGUGACCUUUAGCCAUAACAAAGCAGAGGCAUUUAGCUAUGCAAUUUAAGAUAUGUUUGACCCACUAUCAAGAUGGUUGUUCAGCUCAUCAUAGGCAUAUUAACUUGGGAGCUUGGCACUCCACCAGUCCACGUGUAGCUCUCGAGUUGGCUCAGCAUGAUCUUCACAUUGUCUCAAGUGAAACAAAUGCGGGUCCUUAUGAUGUGGAUUUUGGAUUGAGUUUGUACUUGACGACUUAGUGAAUUAUACAGGAUUAUCAUAUUCUGUCCGUCAUAGUUCCAAUACCUUUUUUUUUAUGAAGCUCAUGAGUUUUCCAUGAUUACGUGGUUGAAUCAUUCUUUGAUUUAUUUUAGCUAGCCAAAUCAUCCAGCAAGAAGAAAUUUAAUGCAAUUCUAUU